CGUGUUUUCUGUGCAUACCAGCCUUCGUACUGCGUCCGUUCAGACGCUUUGACAUCGCCCGGACCCCCGAGAGUACCUGGCUGUUGGUACGUACCGUAAGUCACGUGACUUUAAUAGCGGAAUUGGGUCUGUUCUUGUCCUCGUGAGGCAGCCGGUGGAUACGCCGCAUUGAGCAGGUUGGCGCGUCGGCACAUAUGUCUACCCCGGGGCGGAUCUGCCUUCAAGUCAGCCGAUCCGCCCCACCCUGUGACUUACUUCUUGCUCUCCGGACGGGGCCCGCCCCACCUACUGACAGCGGAUUAUCAAAACGCGGCUCCGCCACGGCUCCACGACCUUCAGCAAACUCGCGCCUUUCCCCGCACCCCUCUUUUUUCUCUUUCAGAAGUUAAUGGCUGCUGGCAUUGGGAGCGCAGGAGCAGAGCUUCUCUAAGAUCAAUUCAGCCUGCCUUUCCCCCUCCACCUUGUCUGCUACCUCACUGAAACGCACGUGGACCGUUGGGAUCUUGAACUCUUUACAAUCCCACACUGCUGCAGAGGAGCCACUGGAGACCGAAACUGGGACCUGACAGGGCAGCAGGACAGACUCCUUCCAGUCAUACACCUCCACCCCUGAGGCAUGCUGGGAAACUGAGGAGAGAAACAUUAAAAAGGAGGAUCACUAACAGCAGCCUCAGCUUCAUCAUCCUCCUCGUCCUCAGAGUCCAGAUAAAGAGUGGCUGAAGGAGCUGGUCCUCCUCCCAGCUGAUCCUCUGCACAGGCAGAGACCUUCAAAAUAAAAGCUGCUCUGUGGCAGUCACUUCCUGCUCAUGUGUUUCAGCCUGAGAGCUUCAUGAGCAGCUUUAAAACACACGCUGGUCACUGAGGAAACAGAGUCACUGCAACAGGAUCUCAGCCACCCGUGGAAGCGUCACACACUGCUAGAUGUAAUAAAUGAGGCUCAGUGGA